AUGCAAGUCGCGCGACAAGCCUCUUUUAGCUUGCUAUUAGAGGUGGAGGAGCGGCGUAAGGGAGAGUAACGGGUGGAUUAUCUGCCCCUAGGCCCAGGAUAGCUGCGGGAAACUGCAAGUAAUACUGGAUAAUAUCUGCGGAUCAAAGGUGUGAUUCCGCCUAGGGAUGAGUCCGCCUCCUAUUAGCUUGUUGGUGGGGUAAUGGCCUACCAAGGCUACGAUGGGUACCGGGUGUGAGAGCAUGGCCCGGCUCACUGGGACUGAGACACUGCCCAGACACCUACGGGUGGCUGCAGUCGAGAAUCUUCGGCAAUGGGCGCAAGCCUGACCGAGCGAUGCCGCGUGCGGGAUGAAGGCCUUCGGGUUGUAAACCGCUGUCAGUAGGGAGGAAAUGCAUGGGGGUCAUCCCCUAUGUUUGACCUAUCUUCAGAGGAAGGACGGGCUAAGUUCGUGCCAGCAGCCGCGGUAAGACGAACCGUCCAAACGUUAUUCGGAAUUACUGGGCUUAAAGGGUGCGUAGGCGGCGCGGUUAGUCGGAUGUGAAAUCGUACAGCUCAACUGUACAACUGCGUCCGAUACUGCCGUGCUCGAGGAAGGCAGAGGUGAGCGGAACUCAG
rnacentral:rRNA from 1 species